CCUGCGUUGGUGGGCGCGCCGCGGGCUCUAAAAGCUCGACUGUCGGCCGGGCGCUGUGGCGCACGCCUGUAAUCCCAGCACUUUGGGAGGGCAAGGUGAUGUUGGACGUGACAGAGGAGGUGACAGGUCACCCUGAGUGCGGGACUCCGUGUCCAGAAGGAAGUGGGCCUCCAGGUGCCACGCCUUUGCUUCUGCUGUGGCAUCUGAUGAGUUCCCUGUUCAUCUCUCCAGGCAUUCCCAGGGCAGUCAGCCCUGAUGCCCAGGGGCUAGGCUUGCAAGACCGCGCAUUAGGUUCGCAGAGCUAGAGUGCAAGGCCAGACCUGGUACCAACAGCAUCUCCGCCUUCGUCCUCAUCUGGUUCCCGCCUCAAACCUGUACCUGUGCGGAGGAGCCUGGAAGGCCACUUUUCUCUCAUCUUUGUAAGCAAGCCUGGAUAAUUCAACUUGAGAUAAACAUGGGCUGCUUUAAAGCUUUACAGCACUUGCAUUUUUAGUUCUUCUGAAACAGAGCCAGAUGUCUCUCAAAGUCAGAUCACAGACACCACUGCAUGCAUCAUGGAACCUGGACUGUUCUGGUCAGAUCAAUAAUCUGGACAUUAUAAUUUUUUCAUUUUUUUUGUAGAGACGGGGGUCUCACUUUGUUGACCAGGCUGGUCUGGAACUCCUGGGCUCAAGUGAUCAGCCUGCCUGGGCCUCCCAAAGUGCUGGGAUUACAGGCUUCAGCCACUGCACCUAAUUCUUUCAUUUUAAUUAGAGUGUUUAUCUCUUCCAAAAGGUGGUUUUAAAAUUUCACAUGUGGUUCUCUCCUUAUUUUCAGUUGAGAAGAAGCAAAAAAAAAAAAAAAUUAGAAAGUAAAACGAUUGGCAGGAGCUUUGGAUAUUUUUACUUAUCCCAUUGUGCAACACAUUCAGUGACAAUACAGGCUUAUGAAGUUGUUCAGAUGGUUUGUCUAUGAGCAUGUCUGUUCCUACAGUUCUCCAGAACAUGAGAGCCCUUCAUGCCUAAUCUUGGCUUCCUGCUGAUAGACUUUUAAAGGGGUGUGAGUUGGCCAGCCAUGGACCUGGGUACGCUUCCAGUGGCCACAGAUGUGAACACAAUGCUGAGAGCAAUGGAAAUGUAAGCAAAGUAACAUGUAUGCUUGGUGAACAAUCAGAAGUAUGAAAUACGAGAAACCAAACCUGCCUGAUUGAUAAGAAUGGGGGGCCGGGUGCAGCGGCUCACGCUUGUAAUCCCAGCACUUUGGGAGGCUGAGGCAGGCGGAUCAUGAGGUCAGGAGUUCAAGACCAGCCUGACCAAUAUGGUGAAACCCUGUCUCUACUGAAAAUAAAAAAUUAGCCAGGUGUGGUGGCGCACACCUGUAAUCCCAGCUACUUAGGAGGCUGAGGCAGGAAAAUUGCUUGGAGGCGGAGGCUGCAGUGAGCCGAGAUCGCGCCACUGCACUCAGGCCUGGGAGACAGAGUGAGACUCUGUCUCAAAAAAACAAAACAAAAAACAAACAGAAAAAAUGGGGGGUAGGGGGUUUGAGGAGCACAAGGCUUGGACCUACUAGACCUGGAGAUUUGGGGAACGAGGGAUGCCAGCCAUGUUCCUUGUACUGUAUGCAAAAGGGAAGUAACAAGUAUUGAAUGUUCACUUACCUCUUUCAUUCCCCAAUAUGAAAUAGAUAUUCCCAUUUGCAAAAAAAAAAAAACAAAAAACAAAAAACAAAAAAAAAGAAGGCUCAGGAGAACUAGAAAGCAGAUGAAACAAAGAGGACUUCAUUCAGUACCAGAUGAAUUUAGUAUUUCUAUGUAUGUAUGUGGGUCUCCUAAUUUGAUUUUCAAAUUGUUCUUUAGAAAGAUUUUUAGCUAUAUUAAGAUUUCUUAAAAAGCUGGGCCAUGCCAGGCAGGGUGGCUCAUGCCUACAGUCCCAGCCACUCAGGAGGCUGAGGCGGGAGGAUCACUUAGCCCAAGAAAGGCUGCAGUGAGCUAUGACCAUGCCACUGCACUCCAGCCUGGGCAACAGUGAGACCCUGUCUCAAAUAAAUUGAAAAAAAAAAAAUGCUGGACCAAGAGUAUAAUUUCAGGCAUCAAUUCUGUAGUUCCUUACUAGAGAAGUUUCUCUUAACAUGUACAACACUGGAAACCAUGAGGAGGUGGCAGCACAGCAUUCUCUGCUGAGCGUGAGGUUGGCUCUUGGUGUUGCUUUGCUGCAACUGUCAUUUGCCAUUGAUGAUGGUUCUUCUCUUCCUCCGAGGGAGAGAAUGCAGUCUGAGUGGGGGAAAAAGCCUGGGCCAUGGACUUAUAGACUGUUAACAUUGGAGUCUUGCUAGUGAACAUUUUAGCUAUGAUUGGAUUGUUUGGAUAGCUGAGUUUGAUAUUUACAAUAUCCCUAGCUUACCACUUAAUGUCUGCUCUUCUAGAUGCUGUCCUUUUCCCGUAUCUUGUUAGUAUUCUCUUUAACCCAUUUUUCAGCUAAGUGAAGUGUUAGUAUUCCCUCCUCUGACACUUGUUCACUCAGCACAAAGAAUUCCUACUGUUACCUCUCCAGAACCCUACGGUCAUUAUAGUUGAGGAAGCUGAUGCAGGUGGGAGAAAGGACCAGACGCAUGGACCAUGCUGUUAAGGGAACAGGGACAGAGUGGGUUUUAAUCUGGUUCACCCAUCCACUUACUAGUUUGUAACCUGAGAGCUUCCACUUCCCCAUCCCCAACAUGGGGACAUACUGUCAUGGGACUGUUGUGAAGAAUGACAUGCCACACAGAUGAGCAGUCCUAGCUAAUGUUAGCUGUUAAUGGGUGAAGGAAAAGCAGGCACUUAACAUGUGGAUAUAGGCUAUCCCUUAUCUUUGUCUUGUGACACCAUCCUCACUAGUUCACAAUUGCCCUUUCGUACAGGCUAAGCAUCCCUUAUCCGAAAUGCUUGGAACCAUUUGUGUUUCAGAUUUCUACUUUUUUCCAGACUUCGGAAUAUUUGUAUAUACUUAAGGUUUUUAUGUAUACUUUAUGAUCUUAGAUAAUUUUAGACAGGGUCCUGCUCUGUCACCCAGUCUUGAGUGUAAUGAUACAAACACGGCUCACUGAAGCCACAGGUACAUGCCACCACACUGCACUAAUUUAAAACAAAAUUUCUUGUAGAGGCUGGGAUAGGUUUAAGCAAUCCUCCUGCCUCAGCCUCCCAAAGUGCAGGAAUCGCAGGCAUGAACCACCAUGCCUGGCCUAUGGUUUUAAUAUACAGGUUGGGCAUUCCUUACCUGAAAAUCCAAAACGUUCCAAUGAGCAUUUCCUUUGCGUGUCACGUUUACGUUUUGGGUUUUGGGUAAGGGAUGCUCAAGCCAUGUAUUAAAAACACAAAACUAGCCAGGCAUGGUGGCUCAUACUUGCAAUCUCCCAGCACUUCGGGAGGUCAAGGCGUGCAGAUCACUUAACACCAGGAGAUUGAGGUUUUCCUACAAAAAAUUAGCCAGGCAUGGUGGCAUGCCUGUAGUCCCAGCUACUUGAGGGUGGCUGAGGUGGGAUGACCGAUUUGAGCCUGGGAGUUUGAAGCUGCAGUAAGCCAUGGCUGCACCACUGCACUCCAGCCUGGGCCACAGCAAAAGAACCCCUCUCAAAAAACUUAAAACAUAAAACUCUAAUACUGACACCUACAUACUCCUACCCAUUGUCAACUCCACCUUGCUCAAGGUCCUAAAUUGUUCACUAUCCCGUCUUUGGUAUUUAUUACUCUUAGCAGAUGCAUAUAUUUAAUGUCUUUUUUGAGCUUAUGAGAAGCCCCAAGUGUUGCUUUGAACAUUCCCAGGCAUGUAUCCUAUGUCCACAUGUAGUUUCUCUUGAGUAAUGCCUCAAAGUAGAACUGCCAUUUUCCCCAAGUAGUUGUAGUAACUUACACAAAUGGUCUUUUUCACAUUGACACGAGGAGUCCCGGCUAGAAGUCACGCUUUUCAUCACUGAAUGUCUUCAUCUACUAAAUGCUAAUGGAGGUAAGGAUAAGACUCAUUCAUGUGCCUGGCAUGUCAUUAGCUGCUCUGAACACACAAUACCCACGGUUUAUUAUAUAAAUCCAAGCCUGAAAAGUUGAAAAUUCCAUUCAUGGUAUUAUUAAUUGGCAAACAAAAAAAGCUCUUAGUUUUUGGAACACAGGUUUGAAUCUUUUUUUUUUUCCACUUUGUGUAACUGGAGACCUUAAUAAACUAUUAAGUAAA